rnacentral:rRNA from 1 species
GGUCAAGUUAUUAAGGGUGCAGGGCGGAUGCCUUGGCACUAGGAGCCGAUGAAGGACGUGAUAAGCUGCGAUAAGCUUCGGGGAGUUGCACGUAAACUUUGAUCCGAAGAUUUCCGAAUGAGGAAACUCACUUAGAGUAAUGUCUAAGUAUCAUUAAGUGAAUACAUAGCUUAAUGAGGGGAACUCAGGGAACUGAAACAUCUAAGUACCUGAAGGAAGAGAAAGAAAUUCGAUUCCGUAAGUAGCGGCGAGCGAACGCGGAUUAGCCCAAACCAAUAAAGUUUUCUUUAUUGGGGUUGCGGACAUAUCAUAACGAAGAGGUAUCGUAAUUGAAGAGGUUUGGAAAGACCCACCACAGAAGGUAAUAGUCCUGUAUGUUAAACGAGAAGACUUCAGAUAUGAUCCAGAGUACCACGGGACACGUGAAACCCUGUGGGAAGCAGGAGGGACCACCCUCCAAGGCUAAAUACUACCUAGUGACCGAUAGCGUAUAGUACCGUGAGGGAAAGGUGAAAAGAACCCCGGGAGGGGAGUGAAAUAGAACCUGAAACCCUGCACUUACAAGCUGUGGAAGCACAUUUCUUGUGUGACCGCGUACUUUUUGUAGAACGGGCCAACGAGUUACGUUAAGUAGCAAGGUUAAGCACUUAAGGUGCGGAGCCGUAGCGAAAGCGAGUUUUAACUGAGCGUUCAGUUACUUGACGUAGACCCGAAACCGGGCGACCUACCCAUGAGCAGGAUGAAGCGAAAGUAAAAUUUCGUGGAGGUCCGAACCCACGAGCGUUGAAAAGCUCGGGGAUGACUUGUGGGUAGCGGUGAAAUUCCAAUCGAGCCCGGAGAUAGCUGGUUCUCCCCGAAAUAGCUUUAGGGCUAGCCUCAAGGUGAGAGAUACGGAGGUAGAGCACUGAAUGUCCUAGGUGGUAUUGCACCUACCGAAGACUAUCAAACUCCGAAUGCCGUCAUCUUAUACUUGGGAGUCAGACUGUGGGUGAUAAGAUUCAUAGUCGAAAGGGCAACAGCCCAGAUCGUCAGCUAAGGUCCCUAAAUGUAAGUUAAGUGGUAAAGGAUGUGGGAUUGCACAGACAACCAGGAUGUUGGCUUAGAAGCAGCCACUCAUUCAAAGAGUGCGUAAUAGCUCACUGGUCGAGUGAUCCUGCGCCGAAGAUUUCCGGGGCUAAAACUUACUACCGAAGCUACGGCAUCAGUAAUGAUGGGUAGGGGAGCUUCCCAUACGGGUUGAAGCAUGACCGUAAGGACAUGUGGACAGUAUGGGAGUGAGAAUGUUGGCAUGAGUAGCGAGAUGUGGGUGAGAAUCCCACAGGCCGUAAACCCAAGGUUUCCAGGGGAAGGUUCGUCCGCCCUGGGUUAGUCGGGACCUAAGCUGAGGCCGAAAGGCGUAGGUGAUGGACAACAGGUUGAUAUUCCUGUACUACCGAUAACCGUUUGAGAGAAGGGAUGACACAGUAGGAUAAGCUAAGCACACUGUUGGUUAUGUGUGCCCAAGCAUUGAGGCAGUCAAAGUAGGCAAAUCCGCUUUGAUAAUGCUGGGAUGUGAUGGGGAGCGAAAUUUAGUAGCGAAGUAGCUGAUUUCACACUGUCAAGAAAAGUCUCUAUCGAGGUUAAAGGUACCCGUACCGCAAACCGACACAGGUGGGUGAGGAGAGUAUCCUAAGGCCAGCGAGAGAACUGUUGUUAAGGAACUCGGCAAAAUGACCCCGUAACUUAGGGAUAAGGGGUGCCACCAUCAGGUGGCCGCAGAGAAUAGGCCCAAGCGACUGUUUACCAAAAACAUAGGUUUCUGCUAAGUCGCAAGACGAUGUAUAGGAGCUGACGCCUGCCCGGUGCUGGAAGGUUAAGGGGAUCUGUUAGAGCAAUCGAAGCAGUGAACUUAAGCCCCAGUAAACGGCGGCCGUAACUAUAACGGUCCUAAGGUAGCGAAAUUCCUUGUCGGGUAAGUUCCGACCCGCACGAAAGGCGUAACGAUUUGGGCACUGUCUCAACAACAGACUCGGUGAAAUUGUAAUUCCGGUGAAGAUGCCGGAUACCUGCGACAGGACGGAAAGACCCCAUGGAGCUUUACUGUAGCUUGACAUUGGGUCUUGGUACUACAUGUACAGGAUAGGUGGGAGGCUUUGAAACCAGGACGCCAGUUUUGGCGGAGCCAUCCUUGGGAUACCACCCUUGUAGUACUGGGACUCUAACCAUAGGCCAUGAAUCUGGUCUUGGGACACUGUCAGGUGGGCAGUUUGACUGGGGCGGUCGCCUCCCAAAAGGUAACGGAGGCGCUCAAAGGUUCUCUCAGUACGGUCGGAAAUCGUACGUAGAGUGUAAAGGCAAAAGAGAGCUUGAUUGCAAGACAUACAGGUCGAGCAAGGAUGAAAAUCGGACUUAGUGAUCCGGUGGUUCUGCGUGGAAGGGCCAUCGCUCAACGGAUAAAAGCUACCCUGGGGAUAACAGGCUUAUCUCCCCCAAGAGUCCACAUCGACGGGGAGGUUUGGCACCUCGAUGUCGGCUCAUCACAUCCUGGGGCUGUAGUAGGUCCCAAGGGUUGGGCUGUUCGCCCAUUAAAGUGGUACGCGAGCUGGGUUCAGAACGUCGUGAGACAGUUCGGUCCCUAUCCGUCGCAGGCGUAGGAAAUUUGAGAAGACCUGUCCUUAGUACGAGAGGACCGGGAUGGACGUACCUCUGGUGUACCAGUUGUUCUGCCAAGGGCAUGGCUGGGUAGCUAUGUACGGAAUGGAUAAGCGCUGAAAGCAUCUAAGCGCGAAGCCAACUUCAAGAUAAGAUUUCCCACCGCAAGGGUAAGACCCCAGAAAGACUAUCUGGUUGAUAGGUCGAAGGUGUAAGUGCAGCAAUGUAUUUAGCUUAUCGAUACUAAUAGGUCGAGGACUUGACCAA